UAUUGGGCAAUGGGCGCAAGCCUGACCCAGCAACGCCGCGUAAAGGAAGAAGGCUUUCGGGUUGUAAACUUCUUUUGACAGGGAAGAGCAGAAGACGGUACCUGUCGAAUAAGCCACGGCUAACUACGUGCCAGCAGCCGCGGUAAUACGUAGGUGGCAAGCGUUGUCCGGAUUUACUGGGUGUAAAGGGCGUGCAGCCGGGAGUACAAGUCAGAUGUGAAAUCCCGCGGCUCAACCGCGGAACUGCAUUUGAAACUGUAUUUCUUGAGUACUGGAGAGGCAGACGGAAUUCCUAGUGUAGCGGUGAAACGCGUAGAUAUUAGGAGGAACACCAGUGGCGAAGGCGGUCUGCUGGACAGCAACUGACGGUGAGGCGCGAAAGCGUGGGGAGCAAACAGG
rnacentral:rRNA from 1 species